CCUACGGGUGGCAGCAGUGAGGAAUAUUGGUCAAUGGGCGGAAGCCUGAACCAGCCAAGUAGCGUGCAGGAUGGCGGCCCUACGGGUUGUAAACUGCUUUUAUACGGGAAUAACGCGCCGUACGUGUAGGGCUUUGCAUGUACCGUAUGAAUAAGGACCGCGAAUUCCGGGCCAGCAGCCGCGGUAAGACGGAAGGUCCGGGCGUUAGCCGGAUUUAGUGGGUUGAACGGGCGCGUAGGCCGCAUGUCAAGCUUGCUGUGAAAUGUCCGGGCUCAACCCGGGCCUUGCAGCGGGAACUGGCGUGCUUGAGUCCGCGGCAAGCAGGCGGACUUCGUUUUGUAGCGG
rnacentral:rRNA from 1 species